rnacentral:rRNA from 1 species
UACAGAGGUCCCAAGCGUUGUUCGGAUUCACUGGGCGUAAAGGGUGCGUAGGCGGGCAGGUAAGUCAGUGGUGAAAUCUCCGAGCUUAACUCGGAAACUGCCGUUGAUACUACUUGUCUUGAAUAUUGUGGAGGUAAGCGGAAUAUGUCAUGUAGCGGUGAAAUGCUUAGAUAUGACAUAGAACACCAAUUGCGAAGGCAGCUUACUACACAAUGAUUGACGCUGAGGCACGAAAGCGUGGGGAUCAAACAGG